GUUAUUUUAUGGAGCCCCACAUUACAGGACAAAUCAUAUCAUUAUUGAUAUAUUUCGAUCAUAUACAGUGUAAAAAUACAAAGUUCAUAUUUACCCCAAUUGUACGAACUCGGGCAUUGAAUAUUCGGCUUUGUCGUUGUAACUCCGCAUUUCGCCUUCUUUGAAUAGCGGCGGUUUCUUUCAUAUCCACAGGUAAAUCAAGUUUAUACAUUUUAAAACUUUUGAACUUAACUUGAACUAAACAAUCCUUUCCACUCUAUCUUUUUGGAGAAAUGUUGCUAUGAAAAUGUUGUAGUGUUUGUUGUCAUGGUAACUUGAAUUCAAACCAGUCCCUGGCAUAGGAAAACCUGCGCGGAAGGCUCUGGAACAAUCCUUCAGUUGCUGCCACGUAUUCUAUUAACUGUGCGGAACCAAUGGGCAAUGGAACCAACUGAGCAACAGUCUACAGAGUCCAGUUGUCGAGCUCUAACCACAAGUUCAUGUAUAUAUACUAGGGUACUGCCAUUUUAAGGUAUGGGUAAAUAUCAAGAUUUUGC